rnacentral:rRNA from 1 species
UACGGAGGUGGCAAGCGUUGUUCGGAAUUACUGGGCGUAAAGGGCGCGUAGGCGGCUUGGCAAGUCAGGUGUGAAAGCCCCGGGCUUAACUCGGGAACUGCAUCUGAAACUGCUUUGCUUGAGUCCUGGAGGGGGUAGUGGAAUUCCCAGUGUAGCGGUGAAAUGCGUAGAUAUUGGGAGGAACACCGGUGGCGAAGGCGGCUACCUGGACAGUGACUGACGCUGAGGCGCGAAAGCUAGGGGAGCGAACGGGAUUAGAAACCCUAGUAGU